UCCCUGGUGACUCAGAUGGUAAAAGACCUGCCUGCAAUGCAGGAGACCCAGGUUCGAUCCCUGGGUUGGGAA
rfam:TPA: Bos taurus chromosome 9, whole genome shotgun sequence.